AUGAGGGUCCAUUUUGGGGAGAUACAAUUUUGGAGCAAAUGUUCUUUGGUUUUAGGCCUAUCAAGACAUGUUCCUGACCACCUGGAAGACUGUGUGACUGGGCAGAGAAGAGAGUGCUUUUACCAGCUUCAUCCUCCUUCCAGGAAAAUGGCUUUGAUAGAACAUUCAGCCUCAGGUCCAACACAGUGGCUCAUGCCUGUAAUCCCAACACUUCAGGAAGCCAAGAAAUGUGGAUCACUUGAGGCCAGGAGUUUGUGACCAGCCUGGCCAAACUCGUGAAACCUCGUCUCUACUUAAAAAUACAAAAAUUAGCUGUACAUGGUUGUACAUGCCUGUAAUCCCAGCUACUUGGAAAGUUGAAGCAUGAGAAUUGCUUGAACCUGGGAGGCAGAGGUUGCAGUGAGCCAAGGUCACACCACUGCACUCCAGCCUGGGUGACAGAGCAAGACUCUGUCUUAAAAAAAAAAAAAAAUGCAGCCUCUUUCAUUGUUGAAUGGACUGAAGGAGUUUUUAGAAAGUCUUUCCAGAUCAUUCAUUUUACAUUUGAGAGAUUAAGCUUCCAUUUAAUUUUAUUUUACUUUCCAAAUAUGGAAAAGAAUUUGCCUAAAGUUUUUAGCAAAUCCGAAGUUAUUCAAGAAAUGCACUGGAAACAUGAUGAAUUCUUAACCUGUGUUUAAUGUUCAAUGAGAUGGUACAGCUUUCACAUUAAUUCAGGUGUUAACAUUUCUUUACCCUAUGAACUGCCUUUAACACCCUUAGCUUCCUUUUCUACUGGAUUGUCCAGAUUGUUUGAAUUUAUUUGUCAGAGUGCUUCUUCUUUAAACAAAAUUCAAAAUUUAUUCUCAUGCAUGUAAUACAUAAUUUUCUGGGGAGCUGUUAACUAUAGUUGUAGGUUGCUUAAGAGGUGAUACAUUCUGAGAAAUGGAUUAUUAGGCAAUCAUGGCUGUAGAACCAUCCUAGAGUGUACUUUUAGGAGUAGAGAUGGUGUAGCUUACUACACACUUAGGCAGCAUGGUAGCUCCUAUUGCUCCUAGGCUACAAACCUGUACAGUAUGUUACUGUAUUGUAGUGUAGGCUGUUGUCAAACAAUGGGUAUUUGUGUAACUAAAUAUGUAGAAACAGAAAAAAGUACUAUAAAAUGUGGCUUAAAAAAUAAAAAAUGGUAACCUGUAGAAGGCACUUGUGAGGAAGGGAGCUUGCAGGUCUGCAAGUCACUCUGGUGAGUCAGUGAGUGAGCGGUGAGUACAUGUAGAGGCCUAGGCCAUCACUGUACGCUACUGUGGACAUAAACACUGUAAUACACUCAAUUUACUUAAAAUAAUUUUCUUUCUUCACUAACAACCUUAUUUUACUGUAACUUUGUUUUUUUAAACAGAGUCUUACUCUGUCUCCCAGGCUGGAGUGCAGUGGCGCAAUCUCAGCUCACUGCAACCUCUGCCUCCUGAGUUCAAGCAAUUCUCACGUCUCAGCCUCCUGAGCAGCUGGGACUACAGGCGCGUGCCACCACGCCCGGCUAAUUUCUGUAUGUUUUUAGUAAAGACGUGGUUUAACCGUGUUGCCCAGGUUGCAAACUCCUGAGGUCAGGCAAUCCGCCCGCCUCGGCCUCCCAAAGUGCUGCGAUUACAGGCUUGAGCCACCACGCACGGCCAUCUUACUGUAACUUUUUUUUUUUUUUUUUUUUUAAUUUUUUAUUGGAUUAUAGGUUUUGGGGUACAUGAGCAGAGCAUGCAAGACAGUUGCGUAGGUACACACAUG
ensembl:lncRNA